rnacentral:lncRNA from 1 species
GUGCAAAGUUUCUCGUUACCGUUGGCUUAGGUAAUGAUGAUCAAUGCAUUGAGGUUGAUUUUUCAGCUUGGUAUGCUUUAAUCUUAUUGUCAGUCUCUUUCUGGAUUGCGCUCUAGGGCUGGAGUUACUGUAAUGUUUUGUUCUUCUUCUAGCUUGUGCAUGUCCUGCAUCUUCCAGAGUUACUGCAUUUUUGUAGAGUUGGUGCUGUUUUAGUUUUUCUUUUUCCUUUCUUCUCCCAAGAUUUUUUUUCUUCUUUUACUAAAGUUUGUGAUUCCCUCCCUUGACGGGUUAAUAUUGCAGUUCAGAAAGAGCCUCAUAAGCCUGAGUCCCAUCGCUCAUGUAUACAUGUGGAAUUUGGCAUCUUUGCAACUGGUAUCAGGUGCAAAGUGUCUUGUUACCGUUGGCUUAGGUGAUGAUUAUCUGCAUUGUGGUUGAUUUUUCUGCUUGAUGAGAAACUGUAGACCCCGGGGGUGUUUAUGCAGAUAUAUUACAGUUGAAGAAGCUGAAAUUUUGGGUCAACCUUUACAUUUGCUGUUCUCAUUUACACUGACUGUACUGAUGGGACAUUCCUUGGAAGCUCAUUGUCACCUCCUUUUCCUGGUCCUUGCACACUCAGAACAGCAUUGGCACCUAAAAAGUGUGAUUUGUUGAACCCACCUAAAACGUGGUCCAAGUCCAAUCGGCAGAAUUCACAGAGGUGUGUUCCCUCUGGAUGAAGGUAAAAUGCGGAAAUCAAUAUGCAAGGUGGUCUUUUGGCAUGUCAGUACUAUAUUCAUAAAGCUCUUGAUAAGUUCUCUUCUAUGACAUGUAUACAGUAUACUGCAACUUGCUAUGAAAAUAGUUGACUGGAAUUUUUUUUUUUUUUUUU